AGAAACCUAAAAAAGGAAUUUGAAACAAAGGAUUAUAUUAAAUAACUUCAAGGCUCUGAUUUAGUCCCCAAAAGCCAAUAAGACAGUCAGUCUGUCCUUAACUCACCCUGUUUGCCUAGGUAUUUCAGGGCUCUCAAGCCUGACACUCAGUGAGUCUGAUCCUGCACGCCUUGCUCAAGCAAUGCUCCCAUUGAUUCCCUCUACAGUGCUGCCGGAGCAAGAAGUAUGGGAUAUGGCACCAGGUCUGCUGCACCACCAAUCAGAAGUGGAAGUCUAAUUGCAAUUCAUGUGAGCCCCAAGGAACGAAGAGUCUUCUCUGCUUUAAAAUUAGUAGCUGUGACUGCCAAAGUGACAUCCAGAAACGUUCUGAGGGGCAGCAAGAAAGCUUGGUGCACACAACAUAACCUGUCCUCUUUUGGAGCUUGAUCUGUGACCUUCAGGAUCAGUAACCAAAUCCUUGCAAGUCUUACUCACAUGAGAUAUCCUGUCUCAUACAGUUUUUCCUACUGAAGUCGAAUAGACUACUUAGAGUUUGCUAAGAAUUUGUUACUUGACAGACUACAGAACAGAAUGUUAUACUUUAUUUACUCCUGAAAAUGUCACACGUCAGCUCCUGCCCAGGCAGAAGUCAGCAAACAGGUCUGUCCUAAACAAAGGAAUGUGUGCUAAGCAGUAAACAGGAUCAUCAAGCAAGAAGGGAAAACAAAGGAAGUCAAACAGAUGGAAAAAAUCCAAUACGGAAUAUCCUUCCACACAGACUGUCUCCUGUUUCUCAGCUGGAAAUGUUUUUCAAGAGCGACAAUGAAACUAUAAAAAGGAGGAGCAAACACACCAAAGGACCCCUCUCUCUCUCUGCCAACCCAUUGCAUUCUAUGCACUUGAGAAGAUAAAGGAAACAGCCAUUGGACUCUGGGGAAGGGGUCCUGACCUGUAGAAAUUGGUCAGUAAUCUUGCUGGAAGCAUGUGGUGAGAAAUUUUGCUUGAAUCUGAUAUAGUUUAAGUUAGAUACUAGAACGCAUUUUUUCUUUAUUUUUCUUGUAACCGUUUCUGAUUCUUAUGCCUCAUUACUCAUA